rnacentral:rRNA from 1 species
UCUCGCAUCGAUGAAGAACGUAGCGAAAUGCGAUACUUGGUGUGAAUUGCAGAAUCCCGUGAACCAUCGAGUCUUUGAACGCAAGUUGCGCCCGAAGCCUUCGGGCCGAGGGCACGCCUGCCUGGGCGUCACGCAUCGCGUCGCCCCCCAACUCCGCUCGAAUAAAGCGGGUGCGUGGG